AACGAACGCUGGCGGCGUGGUUGAGACAUGCAAGUCGAACGAGAUUGUUCGGCCGUAAGGUUGAACAGUCUAGUGGCGAAAGGGAGAGUACAAAACAGGUAACGUACCUCGGACACCGGGACAGCCCGUCGAAAGGCGGGUUAAUACCGGGUGAUGCUCCUUCUUCUAUGAGGAGGAGUCAUAAGGUGGGGACCGCAAGGCCUGCCGGUCUGGGAGCGGCCUGUUUCCUAUCAGCUUGUUGGUGAGGUAAUGGCUCACCAAGGCGAUGACGGGUAGCCGGCCUUAGCGGGUGUUCGGCCUCACUGGGACUGAGACACUGCCCAGAGCCCUACGGGGUGCAGCAGUCUCGAAUCAUCCGCAAUGCCCGAAAGGGUGACGGUGCGACGCCGCGUGCAGGAGGAAGCCCUUCGGGGUGUAAACUGCUUUUCAGAGGCAUGAAGUGUCGGCGGUGAACAGCCGUCGGCAUUGACGUCAAC
rnacentral:rRNA from 1 species